CAUGGAGUCGGUAUAGUCAUUCGGCCAAAUUAUUAAGUAAAUUGAUACGAGGACAUGAUUCUACUCUUGUUUCACCUGCCCUGGGAACUUCAGCUUUUGAACUUGACAGCCCUGCCACCGUGCCCGCAUAUCCGUCCCCGCCCAGGUGGACGUCUGAGCACCCUGGGGGCAUGAGGAGACCGCGUCCGUGUGUCCAGGCCCCGGCGUCCGACGUUCCCCCCGGAGCAGUCCGGAGGCUGAGCGUGCGGGAUGGAGCCUUCCCGAGGACAUCCCUUCAGCUAUGAGAACUCUCAGCGUUUCUUCCUGGCUUCAGAACAUUCUGCGUAUUGCCUAGUUGUGUGUCUGGUUUGCAAAUCCCAAGAUUUAAAAAUAAACACUUAUUUUUGCCGAAGCCUCGGGUUCGUUCACCAGGGGUCAGCGGCACUCGCGUUUAUGGCCCGAGGCCGGCUGCUGACCGGGGCCUCCGCUGGGGCUCGCGGGAGGCCCACAACAAGAACCCUAGGUCUCGGGAAGCCACCAUACAACAGUCCAAGGGAGCGGUAGCCAGCCCAGACAGCUCUAGGACGACGUCUCCAAGGAGAGGAGGGGAAGGAAGGGCAAGAGGAUUCAUUUGAUGAGUGACUGUAUUGAGAGGGAAUUUUCUGUUUUGUGGAGUGAAUGAAUGUAGGUAACUUGACAAGCAGUAUAUAUCAUAAUAGGCUAUGUCCUCAUCUGUGAAUAAUGAAGAUACAUAAUGGAAAUAACAGAAGCUGACUUAAACCAAUGUGCUGACAUAAAGGGCCUAUGAAGAAAGGCCACAGUGGCAGAGAUGGAGACGCCCACAGGCCACCCUCAUGGACUUACCAAAACUGAUCUAGCUGUUACCAUUGAACAUUCAACAUGCCAGCCUCAGAGACUCACACCGAGUACCUAAUAUAGCAACAUUCUUUCAGGCGACCAACCAGCUACUUAAAGGCAAAUUGACUACAUUGAGCCCUUCUAUCCUGGAUGGGCCAGAAGUCUGUCCUCAGGGAAGUUAGCACAUACGCUGGGGAUGGUUUUACCUUUCCUGCUGGCAGGGCCUAAAGCAGCACCACUACCUGAGGGUUUACAGACUGGUGGAUCCACGAGCACAGGAUCCCAAAUAACACCAUGUCAGAUAAGAGAGCUCACUCUAUAGCAAAUAGGUAUGAGAGAGGGUCUAUGACAAGGAUAACUGGUUGUAUGACAUGCCACCUCAGAACAGAAAAACACAGGUCCAUGGAAUACUUUGCUGUCAUUAGAAGUCAUCCUACAGAGGAACAAAGAAAGGAUUAACAGAACAGAAGCAUUCAAAAUACUAGCUAAUUCUUAUUAGCUAAUUCUAAUCUUGUCAUUCUUCUGGUUAACAAAAUUUAAUGUACCUUACAGUUUUCAGUAUUAAAUCCAAUUCAUUAUUGUAGUACUCCACAAAAUGGUAACACAUUGUAUCAAGUGGUGCUAUCUGAGGUAAUUUUUUCUUCUUCAGUUUUCAUUAUUUUCCAAAUCUGCUGCAAUACUAACUGGUAGGGUUUUUGGUUUUUUUUUUAAAGCUUAAUUAUAGAUCUUUCUUUUGCAUGGCUGUAAAAUUAUAGUAAUUGCAGUAAAAUGAAUACAGGAAGCAAAGAUAUAAAAGAUCGCUCAUGUAUUAUGGCAUAAUAUACUAACCCUCAUUUUUAUUUACUAUAAAUGUUAUUCUGAAUUAACAAUUAUAAAACAGACUUGAAUUUA